rnacentral:lncRNA from 1 species
CCACCUUUACUUGUAACACUUCCCUUUGUUCAUUUCCUCACAUCUUCCAGGGCAUCAGAGCCUUUCUUGCCCUGCUGCCUUUGUACAAGUGGUCCUCUGUCUGAUGUCCUCAUCCCCAGGUCCUCAGAGCCCAGAGCUCAGCAGGGGCUGGACUCAGUGGAGUUGGCUAUUGUUCUCUGACCUUAUAAAAGAUGUCCUCCCUUAUAAAAGAUGUCCUCAUGUUUGAAAUUAGUCACUUAAAAUGAGUAAAUUUAAAAUAGGGCAGUGGUUUCAUAGGGACUAGUAAAAAAUGACAAAUAUUUACUUGGAAAUGAUUUUGAAAAUGAACAAAAAAUGAUCAUGUUUGUUUUGUCUUAUGUUUAACAAAAUUUAGGUUGCGUUGCAAUUACAUGCGAGUGGUUUACAGUGAACCCAGACCGAACCAGAUGUUGUUCCUUUGAUACAAUUUUCCUAAUAAUGCAUGCUAGCACAAAAUGUAUUCUUUGCCUUUGACUUUUGCAGCAUGAUCAAAAGGAGGUUAAUUUGUGUGAAUAUGAUAGAAAUCAUUAGUUUUUCUCAAGCUUCAUUUAUAUUGGAAAUGCUCCCCUUCAAAGCACCUAUCGUGUCAUUAAUGCCUCUCAAUUUUCUUGUGUUCCAUGGCUAACUGGUCUACUUGCCACAUUAUCAUUUAUUACUGACAUUGCUUGUGAUUCAUGCAGUUCUUUAGAAUCACUUUCAUUGACUUCGUAACAUCCACAUCCCAUGUCUUUUGUAAAUUGCAGUAUUGCUCUGCUGGCCAUUUAUGUUGUAUAUUUCUUAUUUUAUUAGAUGUGGUACAUCUGAUCAUGAAAGAGAGGCCUUCUGCCCAUCACAUUCUCUUCUUUGUAGGUCAUAAUAUUUAAUGUCAAACAGUGUGUGUGUGUGUGUGUGUAUGUGUGUGUGUGUGUGUAUGUGCACACGCUGCUCUUUGAAUGAGGGUUACUUUUAUAGAUGGGGAAACAUUGGUGAAUGUUUCAUUCAGUCUUUGCCUCCCAACCUGACAUCAUAAUUGUGGGUUCUGAUAUUGACUGCUCAGGUAUUGAAGACAUGUUUCAGGUGUCAAAGUCUAUUUCUCAGAGCUUAUACCUUUCCCAUGUUUACUGCCCAACAUUUCUUUUUUUUUAUAAUUUCAAAAUUAUAUUUAAAAAAUUUUAAUUAUGUUUUUAAU